UACGUAGGUGGCAAGCGUUUGUCCGGAUUUAUUGGGUUUAAAGGGUGCGUAGGCGGCUUUGUAAGUCAGUGGUGAAAUAUGGCAGCUCAACUGUCAAGGUGCCAUUGAUACUGCAGAGCUUGAGUACAGAUGAGGUAGGCGGAAAUUGACGGUGUAGCGGUGAAAUGCUUAGAUAUCGUCAAGAACACCUAUAGCGAAGGCAGCUUACUAGGCUGUAACUGACGCUGAGGCACGAAAAGUGUGGGGAUCAAACAGG
rnacentral:rRNA from 1 species